GGUGGUGCUAGCUCAGUGGUUAAGACAUUGGACUUCUGUUUGGAAGGUUAUGAGUUCAAAUCCCAGCAUUACCA